UGUGCAGCAGAGAGGAACCCUGGGAGGGAAGUCACUGUGAAGAAAGAGGCAGGCGAUGUAACCGGAAAAGCGCAGGUUUGAUGUCAAACAGACCUGCGUGGUUCCACCGCUUUCCGACUGUGUGACACCUCCCCCCCCCCACCACCGGUCCAGUUGCUCUCUGAACCCAAGUCUUGGAAAAUGGAACCAAUAAUACCUGUUCUUCAAGACUGUUCCUGCUGGAAGCUCCAAGAUUCAUCUGAAGGCGUGAUCACAUCCUCAAUGUUGAGUGGACUAUGAACCGGCUGCCAGAGACAGGGUUCCAAGCCGGGCCAGGCCCAUCCCAAUGCCCACCCGAAAAGACGGGACAGAGGAAAGAAAGAAACAAAAUCCUGGGGCUCCAUUGGCUUUCUUUUUGACUCCAGCUGAAGUUGCUGCAUAGUGUGGCCUUGCCAGUCCUCGCCUUGAAAAGGCUGGAAGCGACUGCCGUGAUGGAUCAUCUAAUCCCACAGCCUCAUUCUGCAGAGGACCCCGAGCCUCGACUUGGCCAAGGUCACACAGCUGGGCCACACCCAUGGCGUAUGGUUUUCAUAUGGAAUCGGAGCUGCAGUUGCCGGCCUAUGCCACAGCCAUAGCAAGGUAGGAUCUGAGCCAAGUCUUUGACCUACACCACAGCUCAUGGCAAUUCCAGAUUCCUGGACCCACUGAGUGAGGCCAGGGAUUGAACACGCACCCUUAUGGAUACUAGUUGGAUCACAACGGAACUCCCUGAAAAAUCAAGGUCUUUAAAGCAUUCAUCAACCCCACCAACAUCUUGGCAUAAGAAAAUUGAUUCUUUCAGGAUCACAAGGCUCCGAGAGGUUAAUUUAUCCACUCCAGGUCACCCAUAUCAUGGAUGGGAGAAGAGGAGGGACCGAAGCUCUCCUGGCACCGUGCCCAGUUCUUUCCAGCCCUUUCUGUCACGUAUGCAGUGCUCUGCAUGAGCCAACGUGGAUCGCACAGCAUGUGAAGCAGCCUUCCCGGAGAACUCGGAAACCGGUCCAGCUUGGAGGAAUCUCAUUAGCACUUUUCAAAGCUUUACCCCGACUGCAUUUUAAGUUGUAUAAUUUUUCUGGAUCUGGAUCUCGAAUGAAUGCUGGUUAUUGGCAAGCACUGCAUCUCAUUCGGGGAAAGCGUUCCUCAUCACAUGAUUCAAACUAUAUCCAAAGACUAGAGAAGAGGAAACACAAAAACGCUUCAAAUGAAAGGCAUUUAGAGAGUCUCCUGCUACUUGACUUAUAAAAAUAAUGGCAAUGAUUCAUAAAGGUCGCUGUCUAAUUCCUUCAAGACUCAAGAAUUCGUGCAUCUGGACCUCCUGGUUGUUCUCUGUUCAGUUUCUCCACGAAGCCCCUUGCCUCUGUUUUGCCACAGCUAAAAUAAAUUACCAGGCUUCUCUUGUCCAUAUACAUGACAAUUCGAGGCUUUAAAACAAUGUACAUUAAAAAAAAAAAAAGGAUUUCGGCAGCUUGGAAAUUUGCAAUGUUAGUAAUGCUUGGUACUUUUUAUCUUGAUAUAUAUAUUUUAAUCACAUCUACACUGUUGGCUGGGGUCAAGUCAUUCUGCAUUUUUUGCUGGGUUAUUUGCUUUUCUCAGCCUUCC
rnacentral:lncRNA from 1 species